GCUUUUAUAGUUUAAUUAAAACCUUAGUCUUGUAAACUAAUAAUGGGAAUACCUUAAAGCU
rnacentral:tRNA from 1 species